rnacentral:rRNA from 1 species
UACGUAGGGGGCAAGCGUUGUCCGGAUUCAUUGGGCGUAAAGGGCGCGUAGGCGGCCACCGCAAGUCGACUGUGAAAUCUCCGGGCUUAACCCGGAAAGGUCAGCCGAUACUGCGGGGCUAGAGUGCAGAAGGGGCAACUGGAAUUCUCGGUGUAGCGGUGAAAUGCGUAGAUAUCGAGAGGAACACCUGCGGCGAAGGCGGGUUGCUGGGCUGACACUGACGCUGAGGCGCGAAAGCUAGGGGAGCGAACGGG